rnacentral:rRNA from 1 species
AUUGAACGCUAGCGGCAUGCCUUACACAUGCAAGUCGAACGGAGUGGCGAACGGGUGAGUAAUGUAUCGGAACGUGCCCAGUACCGGGGGAUAACUACGCGAACGCGUAGCUAAUACCGCAUACUAUUGGAGCGGCCGAUAUCGGAUUAGCUAGUUGGUGGGAUAAGGGCUCACCAAGGCGACGAUCCGUAGCUGGCUUGAGAGGACGACCAGCCAGACGUGAACUGAGACACGGCCCAGACUCCGACGGGAGGCAGCAGUGGGGAAUAUUGGACGAUGGGGGAAACCCUGAUGCAGCCAUCCCGCGUGUGUGAAGAAGGCCUUCGGGUUGUAAAGCACUGUUGGCAGGAAAGCGGUACCUGCAGAAUAAGCACCGGCUAACUACGUGCCAGCAGCCGCGGUAAUAC